rnacentral:rRNA from 1 species
CGCCUGGGGAGUGCGGCCGCAAGGCUAAAACUCAAAGAAAUUGACGGGGGCCCGCACAAGCGGCGGAGCAUGCGGAUUAAUUCGAUGCAACGCGAAGAACCUUACCAAGGCUUGACAUAUACUGGACCGCAUCAGAGAUGGUGUUUCCCUUCGGGGCUGGUAUACAGGUGGUGCAUGGUUGUCGUCAGCUCGUGUCGUGAGAUGUUGGGUUAAGUCCCGCAACGAGCGCAACCCUCGUUCUAUGUUGCCAGCACGUUAUGGUGGGGACUCAUAGGAGACUGCCGGGGUCAACUCGGAGGAAGGUGGGGAUGACGUCAAAUCAUCAUGCCCCUUAUGUCUUGGGCUUCACGCAUGCUACAAUGGCCGGUACAGAGGGUUGCGAUACUGUGAGGUGGAGCUAAUCCCUAAAAGCCGGUCUCAGUUCGGAUUGGGGUCUGCAACUCGACCCCAUGAAGUCGGAGUCGCUAGUAAUCGCAGAUCAGCAACGCUGCGGUGAAUACGUUCCCGGGCCUUGUACACACCGCCCGUCAAGUCACGAAAGUUGGUAACACCCAAAGCCGGUGGCCUAACCCUUUUGGGAGGGAGCCGUCUAAGGUGGGAUUGGCGAUUGGGACUAAGUCGUAACAAGGUAACCGUA